rnacentral:ncRNA from 1 species
AAAAAGUUUAAUUUUGGCUUAAAAAAUUAUUUUUAUUUUAUUUUAUAUAAAAAAUUUUUUUUUAUAUAAUAUUUUUUUUAAAAUAAAAUAUUUUUUAAUUUAUAAUAUAUAUAUAUAUAUAUAUAUAUUAAAUAUUAAGAUAAUAAAAUUAGUAAAUAAAUUUAUUUGUUGAGUGAAAUCUUGAAAUAGUAAAUUAAUUAAUAUUAGUUAAAAUUGUGCCAGCAUCUGCGGUUAGACAAUUAAAUAUAAAUAAUUUAAAUCAAUUAUAGUUAAGAUUAAAUUUAAAAUAUAAAAUUUUAUUUUUUAAGUUAAAUUUUAAAUAAAAUAAAUUAUUUAUUUAUUAAUUUUAAAAAAUUCUAAAACUAAAAAAUUUUUAAAAUUAAACUAGGAUUAGAUACCCUAUUAUAAAUUAAUGUAAGUUAAUUAAUGAUUAUAUUAUUUAUAGUUAUGAUCUUAAAAUUUAAAAAAUUUGGCGGUAUUUUAUUCUAUUCAGAGGAACUUGUUUUAUAAUUGAUAUUACACAAUUAAUCUUACUUAAUUUAUUAAAAUUUGUAUAUCGUUGUCAUAUCGAAUAUCUUAGAAAAGUUAUUAUAUUUAAUAUUCUAAAAUUUAUACUAUAAAUCAUGUCAAAUCAAGGUGCAGUUUAUAAUUAAGAAAAAAUGAGUUACAAUAAUUUAGGUUUAAACGGACUAAUAAAUGAAAAUUUAUUAUAAAGGUGGAUUUGAUAGUAAAUAAAUAAAUAUAGAUUUAUUGAUAUAAGUAUUAAAAUAUGCACAUAUCGCCCGUCAUUCUAAUUUUUGGAUUAGACAAGUCGUAACAUAGUAAAGGUACUGGAAAGUGUUUUUAGUUUCAA